UAGGAUAUAUACAAAGAUACAUACUUGAAAGUCCGUAGAGGAAACAAAUUUUUACGCCUUCUGUUUGACUGUUUGUCAUAUAUUUGGUUUUAUUUCCCAGGGAUCAGUGAAUUUUAACUCUGGAGUCCUCUAUGCUAAGGAUGCUCAGCUUACAGAUGAUGAAAUGUUCAGUAAUGUAUUUGCUGGAGCUGUGCUUACCCAAGGUUUGGGUAAAACAAGCUUUGGGUUCCUUCUGUCUCACUGGGAGUUGCCCAAUUCAGUUGCAUCUGGUGAAAUUCACCCUGAGACCUUACAGAACUAGCUCCAACUACGUGAGAGCCAUUUGCAGUUCUCUCCAGACACCUGGAGAAUGGGCGACGUUUCUGAGGAUCCGGCGAGCGUGCUUCUAUCAAAACUCAGUCUGUGAAAUUUCUGGGGAAAACACUUCUGUGUCCUGAAGGGUUCAAACUCUGGUGAGGAUCCAGUUAUCAGGUGCUCACCUGGAUGGUUCCAGCUCCCAAAGGGAAAGGCUCUCGUAUCCUUGUCGUCGGGCUCGGUGCUGUCCAAGAAGAUACAGAGACUAAAAAAAUCAUAAGAAGCAAAAUAUGACUGCAGGGAAAAGAAGCUGGAGAGAACAGAAGACAUUGCUCCACUCCCCAGAGGAUUAUUGUGAGCAGAUGUGAGCUCUGCUGUCCCUUUGGACUGACAAAGACAGAGGUUUUGUCCCAAGUUGCUUUUGAACCUGUCCUGCACCCGUUACGAGUCCUCAGUCUCCUGCAAUUUUGUGGGUCAGUCACAUGUAAAACAGCACAGCUGGCUGGCAUGCUUUGCUCAUGAGGGGAGACAAGAGAAGAAUCCCUCUGCUCACACCAGACCUGCAGCUGCCAAACCUCACCAAAGCACCUGAGGAGCCCCCAGGGACUGAUGGUACAGAAGGGAGGUGAUGGAGGACAGCACAGCAGGCAGCCUGCCCUCCAUCUGGCUGUGAAGAAGGCAGGGCUGGGAACUGUCAGCAACAUCCCAGCAGGUCUGGCUGAUGGUGCCACCCUGAGGGCUUCCCCUGCCUUUGGGCAGUCCCAGCUGCUGCAGCUCACUUGACAGAGACUCAUUGUCUAUACUGUGCUUGGCUGCACUGGAGAUGAUGAAGCCGAGGACAGCAAUGGUUGCCUUCACAUCCCCUGACUGCAGAUGGGAAGGAGGGCGAGCUCUGUCACCUUGGGAAGGCCUCUGCAGAGUCACUGCUGCCCGUCUCUGGA